rnacentral:rRNA from 1 species
CACGUAGGGCGCAAGCGUUGUCCGGAAUUAUUGGGCGUAAAGAGCUCGUAGGCGGCCAGUUGCGUCCGCUGUGAAAUCCCGGGGCUUAACCCCGGGCGUGCAGUGGAUACGGGCUGGCUAGAGGCAGGCAGGGGAGAACGGAAUUCCCGGUGUAGCGGUGAAAUGCGCAGAUAUCGGGAGGAACACCGGUGGCGAAGGCGGUUCUCUGGGCCACUACUGACGCUGAGAAGCGAAAGCAUGGGGAGCGAACAGG